ACCCUUGGUCGUAGAGUCGCGACCAACUCAAACUAAAGAACGCUCACUCGGA
rnacentral:sRNA from 12 species